rnacentral:misc_RNA from 1 species
CGUGCUGGUGCACCGAACUGCUUUCCCCACUUUCAAUCAAUGAAAUGCUCCAUGUGCUAGCGUUGGAUGCAAAAUGGUGGGUUCCUGUGUUGCAUACCUAACGAGAUGGAAAUUCGUCCCUUCGGUUGUCCCUUCCAUCCGUGCAUCCUCACGGGUGCUCGGUUGGACUAGAUAGAGGAGCUCGUGCUCCACGGACAUCGCACGCGAUCGUUCCGUUGGACCUCGAGCUCCCUCUUGUCCUCUCGGAUGCGGAAAGUUCCUCCCGGGCGUGGGUCAUCGGCCCUCGUUCCCGAAAGCUGAAGCGUGGAACGACGCUUCGCACCGGAAUGACGCUCUUGCCUUGCCCUUGAUCACGUGGAGCCCUCGGGCCACCACAAGGAUCAUGCUCGGCGGACGUCGUGAAGGAAUGC